AUUGAACGCUGGCGGCAGGCCUAACACAUGCAAGUCGAACGAGUGGCGGACGGGUGAGUAAUGUAUGGGAAACUGCCCGAUGGAGGGGGAUAACUACUGGAAACGGUAGCUAAUACCGCAUACCAUCGGAUGUUCCCAGAUGGGAUUAGCUAGUCGGGGGGGUAACGGCUCACCUAGGCGACGAUCCCUAGCUGGUCUGAGAGGAUGACCGGCAACACUGGAAAUGAGACACGGUCCAGACGCCUACGGGAGGCAGCAGUGGGGAAUAUUGCACAAUGGGCGCAAGCCUGAUGCAGCCAUGCCGCGUGUAUGAAGAAGGCCUUCGGGUUGUAAAGUACUUUCAGCGAGGAGGCGUUACUAGCAGAAGAAGCACCGGCUAACUCCGUGCCAGCAGCCGCGGUAAUAC
rnacentral:rRNA from 1 species